AGUAAAGUUUUAUCCUGGCUUAUUCUCUUAUUUUCAGGUUGAAGGUACAUGUAAGGUCUCACGGGCCAAAGUAUUAGAAGUUAUUAAAUAUUCUUUCAAAUAAUGUUUUAAGGUUUCUUAUAAUAAGAUAAUUCUCAGUACCUAGUGCUAAUUAUAAAUGCAAGUUAGAAUUGGCAAUCUUGAUUAUUAGUGUCCGGCGAAAUUUUGUGCCAGCAGCCGCGGUUAUACUAAGGGGCAAAUUAAGAGAAGAUUGGUUAAAAAUAGUUAAGUGAAAGCUUAUUUACCAUUAAAGUCUGUACUAAUAAAGGGUGAAAUCGAUUUUUUAGUGGGUAGAUUGUUUGGGGGUGAGCUAAUUCUGAAGCUGUUAAGGUGAAGGUAUGGACCAGGAUUAGAUACCCUGUUACUCUUUACUUUAAAUGAAAAUACCUGGGUAUUAAACAGUUAUUGUCUUGAAACUCAAAGGAUUUGGCGGUAAUCUAGUCUAUUUAGAGGAACCUGUCCUGUAAUCGAUAAACCACGCAGAAUCUUACCUUAUUUUGUAAAUUCAGUUUGUAUACCGUCAUUAUUAGGUAACUCUAAAAAGAAUCAGUUACUGUAAUAAGUUUUUCUUAGUAUAUUAGAUCAAGGUGCAGCUAAUAGUAAGGUAGAGAUGGGUUACAAUAUGAUAGAUAUAAACGGAUUAAAAAGUUAUAGCUUUUUAUUAAGGUGGAUUUAAUAGUAGGGAAGUUUUAAUAAGGCUUUUCGAUUCUAGCUCUAGGUUAUGUACACAUCGCCCGUCGCUCUCGUUAAUUAAAGCGAGAUAAGUCGUAACAUAGUAGGUGUACUGGAAAGUGUACCUAGAAAUU
rnacentral:ncRNA from 1 species